GUUAUCAUAUCCCCUCUCAGGCGACGUUUUUCUAAACUAAAUAGGUUUAAAUUGGUUAAUCUUUCUUCAUAGCUGAUAUGUUCCAUUCCUUUUAUUAAUUUUGUAGCCCAUCUCUGCACUUUUUCUAGUGCCAUAAUAUCCUUUUUUAGAACAGGUGCCCAAAAUUGCACAGCAUAUUCAAUAUGUGGUCUUACCAGUGAUUUAAAAAGAGGCAAAAUGAUAUUCUUGUCCCG